rnacentral:rRNA from 1 species
GUUGAACGCUGGCGGCAUGCUUUACACAUGCAAGUCGAACGGUAACACGCCUUCGUUUGCUGUCUGGUGUCGGACGGGGGCGUAAUGCUACGGAAUGUAUCCCGUGCUUGUGGGUAACGCAGCGCUAGCUGAACUAAUACCGCAUGUGAUCUGAUGUUUAAAGCCGCGGGGCUCACAGGUGUGUUUCGCCCCUCCCCUUUGGAGUAGCCGGUUCCGUGUUGCAUUAGCUAGUUGGUAAGGUAACGGCCUACCAAGGCAACGAUGCAUAGCUGAGCUGAGAGGACGACCAGCCACACUGGAACUGAGACACGGCCCAGACUCCUACGGGAGGCAGCAGUGGGGAAUUUUGGACAAUGGGCGCAAGCCUGACGCAGCAAUGCCGCGUGCGGGAAGAAGGCCUUCGGGUCGUAAAACGCUUUUGGCAGGGAAGAACAGGUGUCCACGAAUACCUGCAGCUAAUGACGGUACCUGAAGAGAAAGCAACGGCUAACUACGUG